AGCAGCCGCGGUAAUUUCAGCUCCAAUAGCGUAUAUUAAAAUUGUUGCAGUUAAAAAGCUCGUAGUUGAACUUCGGGGUUUACCCAUUGGUCAGGCUUAAUUGUCUGUACUGGUGAGAUGAAUCCUUACCUUCUGAGGAACUUUCAUGUCAUUAAUUUGGUGUGAUUGGAAAUCAGGACUGUUACUUUAGAAAAAUUGAGUGUUUAAAGCAGGCUAACGUCUGAAUACAUUAGCAUGGAAUAAUGAAAUAGGACGGACUGAUUCUAUUUCGUUGGUUUCUAGGAUCACCGUAAUAAUUAAUAGGGAUAGUUGGGGGCAUUAGUAUUCAAUUGUCAGAGGUGAAAUUCUUGGAUUUAUUGAAGACUAACACUGCAAAAGCAUUUGCCAAGGAUGUUUUCAUUAAUCAAGAACGAAAGUUAGGGGAUCGAAGACGAUCAGAUACCGUCGUAGUCUUAACCAUAAACUAUGCCGACUAGGGAUCGGACGAAGUUAAUUUAUAAUGACGUGUUCGCACCUUACG
rnacentral:rRNA from 1 species